rnacentral:rRNA from 1 species
AGAGCGAACGCUGGCGGCAGGCCUAACACAUGCAAGUCGAGCGCGUGUAGCAAUACACGAGCGGCAGACGGGAGAGUAACACGUGGGAACGCGCCCUUUGGUUCGGAAUAACUCAGGGAAACUUGAGCUAAUACCGGAUAAGCCCUUACGGGGAAAGAUUUAUCGCCAAAGGAACGGCCCGCGUCCGAUUAGCUAGUUGGUGAGGUAACGGCUCACCAAGGCGACGAUCGGUAGCUGGUCUAAGAGGAUGAUCAGCCUCACUGGGACUGAGACACGGCCCAGACUCCUACGGGAGGCAGCAGUGGGGAAUCUUGGACAAUGGGGGCAACCCUGAUCCAGCCAUGCCGCGUGAUCGAUGAAGGCCUUAGGGUUGUAAAGAUCUUUCAGCUGGGAAGAUAAUGACGGUACCAGCAGAAGAAGCCCCGGCUAACUCCGUGCCAGCAGCCGC